AUACGUAGGGGGCGAGCGUUGUCCGGAAUGAUUGGGCGUAAAGGGCGCGUAGGCGGCCCGGUAAGUCUGGAGUGAAAGUCCUGUUUUUAAGAUGGGAAUUGCUUUGGAUACUGUCGGGCUUGAGUGCAGGAGAGGGAAGUGGAAUUCCCAGUGUAGCGGUGAAAUGCGUAGAGAUUGGGAGGAACGCCAGUGGCGAAGGCGACUUACUGGACUGUAACUGACGCUGAGGCGCGAAAGUGUGGGGAGCAAACAGGAUUAGAUACCCUGGUAGUCCACACUGUAAACGAUGAAUGCUAGGUGUAGGGGGUAUCGACCCCUUCUGUGCCGCAGUCAACACAAUAAGCAUUCCGCCUGGGGAGUACGGCCGCAAGGUUGAAACUCAAAUGAAUUGGCGGGG
rnacentral:rRNA from 1 species